rnacentral:rRNA from 1 species
GACGUAGGGCGCGAGCGUUGUCCGGAUUGAUUGGGCGUAAAGGGCGCGUAGGCGGCCAGCACAAGUCAGUUGUGAAAUCUCCGAGCUUAACUCGGAAAGGUCAACUGAUACUGUGCGGCUAGAGUGCAGAAGGGGCAACUGGAAUUCUUGGUGUAGCGGUGAAAUGCGUAGAUAUCAAGAGGAACACCUGCGGCGAAGGCGGGUUGCUGGGCUGACACUGACGCUGAGGCGCGAAAGCUAGGGGAGCGAACGGG